rnacentral:misc_RNA from 1 species
GAAUAUUUGAAGGGGUUGUUUGCUGGUCCCUAGCGGGACAUCGUGCACGCCUCGUUCAAAAAUCCAACCUUCAUACCCCUGUGCAUCAUUUGUAGGGUUGCGGCCGUCAGGCCUGCGCUCUAUGUUUAUCACAAACUCUGUAGUAUGUGUAGAAUGACAUCGCGUAUAACGCAUUUAUAUACAACUUUCAGCAACGGAUCUCUUGGCUCU